rnacentral:lncRNA from 1 species
GGACAAACCGUGCAAGAUUUUGAAACAUAAGUUACAAAACUCGUCAACUUUUGCGCUAAAGGACAGCGCCUGCAAUUUGAUAUAAACGUAAAGGACAAAACUUGUAAUUUACUCUUAAAUAAAAUAGUUGGUUGUUAGGAUUUUUCAUAGUUUUUUAAAGUUUUUUACUUUUCUUAAGUUUUAAAGUCUUUUAGAGUUCUUAUACACACCAUGUUGUAAUAAAUAUGAGAAUUUCAAAAGAAUAAUUUUUCAUAAUCUUAAAAGUUUUAGUAAUUAAAACUUUUGUAACAUAAUACGAUUACUUAAAACAUAUUUUCAAUUUUUAAGCUAAUCUUCCUCACAAUUUUUAAACUCUUAUAUUUAUUUCCUAUGUUUACGUUUCUUUUUUUUUCUUAAAAAUUACACCAUAAAAAGCCAUACUAAGAGGGCACCUGUUGGGAUUGAACCCUAACAGAGGAACAGAUAAUGUAAAGCCAAAACCGGAUCCCGUCUGUGGACUCCUAAUAAGCAGCAGUUUACUCUAAUCUCUCCCCUUGACAGUGGUUAUCUAACAACUGAUAAUCUUAAGUGCUGCUCAACUACAACAACUGAUAAACCAAACUCUGAUGAUUACCUAACAACUGCUGAAGACAAACUCUGUUGCUCUAUCUACUGCUGUUUCCUAAGUGCUGCUGAAGAUUCAAUCACUGCCCUCUCAAAGACUGGUCACCUUUGAAGAAAGCACUGAAGACUCAACAUCUGUGCUAAGGCUACAACAGUGGAACGUGAAGCAGUAGUUUUCAUUUUGUUUUGUAUGUUAUAUUUGUAGUUUGUUAGGUCGUUAGAUGUCACUAUCAUGGUGACGUCAGCUGAAGUAUAUCAGUAGUUUGGUUUGCCUAUAAGUAUGACAGUACUCUGUACUGUUACACUUGAUCGUUUUGAGUGAGUUCUUCUCCUCAAUUCAUCCUUUCAUCUUGUGCAACCAACUCUGGUGUAUCAGGCUGAGGGGGAGUUUAGAUUGUAAGCUUUUACUGUAAUCUUUUGCUUCUUUGUAAAUCGUUUGACUCAAUGAAAAGCAACUGU